rnacentral:rRNA from 1 species
ACGAACGCUGGCGGCGUGCUUAACACAUGCAAGUCGAACGGUGAAGCGCCUUCCUUUUUGGUGGGUGUGGAUGAGUGGCGAACGGGUGAGUAACACGUGAGUAACCUGCCCCCUUCUUCUGGAUAACCGCAUGAAAGUGUGGCUAAUACGGGAUAUUCUGGGUCUGUCGCAUGAUGGGUCUGGGAAAGAUAUUGUUUCGGUGGGGGAUGGGCUCGCGGCCUAUCAGCUUGUUGGUGGGGUGAGGGCCUACCAAGGCGGUGACGGGUAGCCGGCCUGAGAGGGUGGACGGUCACACUGGGACUGAGACACGGCCCAGACUCCUACGAGAGGCAGCAGUGGGGAAUAUUGCACAAUGGGCGCAAGCCUGAUGCAGCGACGCCGCGUGAGGGAUGGAGGCCUUCGGGUUGUGAACCUCUUUCGCCAGUGAAGCAGGCCUGCCUCGUUUGUGGGUGGGUUGACGGUAGCUGGAUAAGAAGCGCCGGCUAACUACGUG